AGCUUGAGUACCAUGCCAAGUUUGGGCUCUGGGGCUACCCAGAAUAGAAAGUUCCUAUUAGGGCUGAUCCCAGGAGGUGUGGGGCUGAGACUUUUGAAGCUAACACUUUUCCAGCCCGUGGAAUUUUGAAUAUUCUCUAGUUUUCUAAUCAUCCUCUCCCUACAAAGAUCGAGAUUCACAGUCCCUUGCUGUUGUUCAGUCACUCAGUCGUGUCUAACUUUUUGUGACCCCAUGGACUGCAGCACACCAGGCUUCCCUGUCCUUCACCGUCUCCCAGAGUUUGCUGAAAUUCAUGUCCAUUGAGUUGGUGACGCCAUCCAACCAUUUCAUCUUCUUCUGGCUUCAGUCUUUCCCAGCAUCAGGGUCUUUUCCAAUGAGUCAGCCCUUCCCAUCAGGUGGCCAAAGUACUGGAGCUUCAGCUUCAUUAUCAGUCCUUCUGAUGAAUAUUCAGGACUGAUUUCCUUUGGAAUUGACUGGUUUGAUCUCCUUGCAAUCCAAGGGACUCUCAAGAGUUUUCUCCAAAGCCACAGUUUAAAAGCAUCGAUUCUUCGGUGCUCACCCUUCUUCAUGGUUCAACUCUCAUAUCCAUUCAUAACUAUUGGAAAAACCACAGCUUUGACUAUGCAGACCUUUGUCAGCAAAGUAAUGUCUCUGCUUUUUAAUAUGCUGUCUAGGUUUGUCAUAGCUUUUCUUCCAAGGAGCAAGUGUCUUAAUUUCAUGGCUGCAGUCCCCAUCUGCAGUGAUUUUGGAGCCCAAGAAAAUAAAGUCUCUCACUGAUUCCAUUGUUUCCCCAUCUAUUUACCAUGAAGUGAUGGGAUCAGAUGCCUUUUCUGAAUGUUGAAUUUUAAGCCAGCUUUUUCACUCUCCUCUUUCACUUUCAUCAAGAGGCUAUUCAGUUCCUCUUUGCUUUCUGCCAUAAGGGUGGUGUCAUCUGCAUAUCUGAGGUUAUUGAUAUUUCUCCUGGCAAUCUUGAUUCCAGCUUGUGCUUCAUCCAGCCUGGCAUUUCGCAUGAUGUACUCUGCAUAUAAGUUAAAUAAGCAGGGUGACAAUAUACGGCCUUGGUGUACUCCUUUCCCAAUUUGGAACCAGCUCGUUGUUCCAUGUCCAGUUCUGUUGCUUCUUGACCUGCAUAUAGAUUUCUCAGGAGGCAGGUCAGGUGGUCUGGUAUUUCCAAUCUCUUGAAGAAUUUUCCACAGUUUGUUGUGAUCCACACCGUCAAAGGUUUCAGCAUAGUCAAUGAAGCAGAAGUAGAUGUUUUUCUAGAAUUCUUUUAGUUUUUCUAUAAUCCAGGGGAUGUUGGCAAUUUGAUCUCUGGUUCCUCUGCCUUUUCUAAAUCAAGCUUGAACAUCUGGAAGUUCUCUGUUUAUGUACUGUUGAAGCCUAGCUUGAAGAAUUUUGAGCAUUUCUUUGCUAGCUAUGUGAAAUGAGUGCAAUUGUGUGGUAGUUUGAACAUUCUUAUGCCAUUGCCCUUCUUUGGGAUUGGAAUGAAAACCGAUCUUUUCCAGUCCUGUGGCUGCUGCUGAGUUUUCCAAAUUUGCUGGCAUAUUGAGUGCAGCACUUUCACAGCAUCAUCUUUUAGGAUUUGAAAUAGCUCAGCUGGAAUUCCUUCACCUCCACUAGCUUCGUUCGUAGUGAUGCUUCCUAAGGCCCACUUGACUUUGCACUCUAGGACAUCUGGCUCUAGGUGAGUGAUCACAUCAUCGUGGUUAUCUGGGUCAUGAAGAUCUUUUUUGUACAGUUCUUCUGCGUAUUCUUGCCACGUCUUCUGAAUAUCUUCUGCUUCUGUCAGGUCCAUACUGUUUCUGUUCUUUAAUGUGCCCACCUUUGCAUGAAAUCUUUCCUUGGUAUCUCUAAUUUUCCUGAAGAGAUCGCUAGUCUUUCUCAUUCCAUUGUUUUCCUGUAUUUUUUUUCAUUGUUCGCUUAGGAAGCCUUUCUUAAACUCUCCUUGCUAUUCUUUGGAACUAUGUAUUCAGAUGGAUGUAUCUUUCCCUUUCUCCUUUACCUUUUGUUUGUCUUCUUUUCUCAGCCCUUUGUAAGGCCUCAUCAGGCAACCAUUUUGACUUUUUUCAUUUCUUUUUCUUGGGGAUGGUUUUGAUCACUGCUUCCUGUACAAUGUUAUGACCCUCCAUCCAUAGUUCUUCAGGCACUUUGUCUAUCAAAUCUAAAAGAUCACAGUCCCUAAAAGACCUUAUUGCUCAUGCCCUAAGUCAUGCCUGACUCUGCAACCUCAUGGGCUGUGUAGCCCACCAUGCUUCUGUCUAUGGGAUUCCUUAGGCAAGGCUACUGGACAGGGUCCCAUUACCUCCUCCACGGGAUCUUCCCAACUCAGGGACAGAAUCUGUGUCUCCAGCAUCUGCAGGCCAAUUCUCUACCACUGGGCCACCUGGGAAGCCCCAAAAGUCCUUAUUACCAGCCUGUUAUAAGGCAGUCAUGGAACCUGGAUGCUCUCAAGCAGCAGGCUGAAGGAAAGAGUCCUUGCCCACUCUGAAGAGCCUUUAGAGAACUCAGUGAUGGGCAUGAACCCCUUCUUAGAUACAAGACCUUAAAUGCUGCCAAGAUGUGGCAAGAUGGACUCUGCUGAGUCUCUGAGACAAGAUUUUCCACAGUUCCUUCUCUGCUCAGACCCCUCAGGUCAACCAGGAGGCCCACUAUCAAGGGACAAGCCUUCUUUAUUCCCCACUUACUUUCUGGCUCAUAGUUAAUCAAUAUAAUAGUAGGAGCCCCAAGAGAUGGUGGGAGGUCUUGCUAGUCUUUCCUGCAAUUAACAUUUCCUCAGUGUGGUUUUGAUCAGCAGUGGCCUCCUUUGUUAAAGGGUACCCAAGGGGCUCUGUGCCUCACCUACUUACAGAAUGAUGCAGAGCUCAGGAGGAACCCAGAAUAAGAUGAAGCCUUGCCAUUCAGGAAGCUUAAGAACAUCUGAGUGCUCCUCUCCCUCCUCCUGCUGGUUCACUAUCAAGAAUAAGAACAGCUGAUAUUUACUGAAUAUUGACAAGCCUCAGGUGCUGUGCUAAGUAUGUAUACAUUAUCCCAUUCAAUCCUUAACAGCAUCUUAGUGAAACAGUUACCUUUACAGUGUCCAUUCUGAAGUUGUAAAGCUGGGGCUUGGAGAGGAGAAAUCACCUGCCCUGAGCCAAAGAGCUGCUUCAGAGUAUUAGCUAUAUUUUGAAAUACAGAGUGACCCCCUCUUUGAGCCCUAGCUGGGUUCUCCAGAACAGACAACAGUUCUCUUCAGCAUCAGGGGAUUUUCCCAAGGGUAAGGGCAGCCUGGGCCGUGGGACACACCUUGUCAAGUUCCCCCAGGCCCCAUGGAAGCAUCUGAUGCUCCUUUUCAUUGCAUUGCCUCAUUUCCAUGGGGUAAGUGCACCCUGUCUUGGGAGGAAACAAUUACACCAGGAUGAAGCUCUUGCCUUCCUCUUCUCUCUCUAAGAUAAUCCAUCUGACACCUGACCAAGCUGCAGAGAACAAACGGGACUCAUUACAUCUUUGGAAAUUUCAUUCGAUUUUUAGAAUUGGGGAUGAGCUGGAAGACUGACAGCUGGAGACCUAGUUCCAGAGAAUUAUUUAAGCCUUAUGCCAGAAGAGAAAAGACUGUUUGGGACCUGCCAUUAAGAAUAAUCUAUAGCGGGGGUAGGAGUAGGUACUGGAUUUUAUCAGCAGCUCUCAAGCCAUGACUCCAUCUACCCCGAGUUGUAACUUUGCUGGCCUGUUUGCCCAACUCUGGUUAAGGGUCAGUGUUGGCUCUUUCGACACAGAGGUUUGGACCAGGUAGGGAAACAGAGGCUGUAUAGCUAACAUCACAGGAGGCACUUCUUUUUAAUCCGAGAUGACAGAGGCCCUGCUUUCAAUUGCCCCAUGAGCUUGGCUGUUACUACUACCCUCUUCUCCUGAAGUCAACAGAGGGAGCUGUCCAGUGAGAAGGUGGGUUUCUCAUGAUAAGAGGGGGAAAAAAUGAUACUGCCUUGAAGAGCCUGAGAACCACUGGCUGCAGGAAGGAGGCUCAGGUCUGUCCCAGGUCCCUCCUACCUUGUAACGUUUUGACUCAUGGAAUAACUUGCUGUUCUGGGCCACCAGAAUAAGCAAAUUUGUUCCAACUGGUUUGAAAUAUGUUCAGUUACAAAUCAAAAGAAAACUUUGGUCUGGAUUGUAAAUAACAGGAGAAUUACUAAUGUUUUGAUUAUAUCUGGAGCUCAUGCAUAGGACAAGUUCAUUCUGAUUAGGGAUUUGGGGCCCAGUUCACUUAAACAAGAGGCACCAAGUCCUCAGCAGGGGCCAGCCUUCAUCCGGCUACAACUUGCAACUUGCUUCAUCUGCAUCCUGCUUGGAGCCUUCCGGGGCCAAAUUAGUUACAGAAUAUUUAUGUUUUCCCUGAAAUCGUCUUCAAAUGCCUGGCACUCUUCCAAGGGACCUAAAGGGAUAAGGUAUUAGGGACACAGAUGCCUUAAGAAGGGGGGAAACACUAAUAAUACUAGUAAGAAUUAGCCAAGCUCCUAUUAUACACCAGUGAAGCCGCUCAGUCAUGCCCGACCCUUUACGACCCCUGGGACUGUAGCCUACCAGGCUCCUCCGUCCAUGGGAUUAUCCAGGCAAGAAUACUGGAGUGGGUUGCCAUUGCCUUCUCCAGAGGAUCUUCCCGACUUAGGGAUCAAACCCGGGUCUCCUGCAUUGCAGGCAGACGCUUUACCAUCUGAGCUACCAGGGAAACCACUAUAUCAGUGUCCUAAAGCACUUCACAUAGCUCCAUUUACUCUUAGUAACCCUAGGAGGCAAGUACCAGUAUUAUUCCUGUCUUACAGAUGAGGAAAGAGGGAGGUGACUGAACUUGUCCGAGGUCUCAGAGCUAUUUAAGUAGGUGGGGUUCUCAUCCAGGCUGUCUGGUUUAUGCUCUGAGCCCCACGCAAGAUUUUCUCCUCCUCAUGGAAGGAUCUCCAGUGGGGUCAGUGGGGGAGGGUCUGGGCAUGUAUAGGUCUCAAAUGAAAAGGGAUCCAUAUUCAGUCUGGUGUUGAAUUUGCUGUGGACAGUGUGCAGAAGACCAGAUAACAGAGGGACUAAUGGGCCCAUAGAAACCUGUUGUCUGAGGCCUGGGGAUCCCCUGACCACUCAAUCCAGCGCCAUAGAAGAAGACUGUGAUAACAGUAGCUUUAACACACCCUAGGAACUCCUGCGCUAUGCUAAGUCAUUUCAGUUGUGGCCAAUUCUUUGCAACCCCAUGAACCGUAGCCUGCCAGGCUCCUCUGUCCAUGGGAUUCUCCAGGCAAGAAUACUGGAGUGACUCCUAAAGGGCAAGAAUUAUUCAACUUUCUCUGAGCAACAGUCAUGAGAUCGCAUAAAUUACAGGGUGUGCGGACUCUGACCCUUCGUUUUAGAGAUGAGGUCGAAGAGGCCAAGUGAAUCAUGAAGUCCACGAGGUUAGGGCAGCAGAGCCUGGAUGGGAACCCAACUGCCUUCUGGCUUAGUCAGGCUGUCUGAUCAUGGGGUGUCUGAAGGCUGGGGGGUCAGAUAAGAGAAUACAGUGCUUACUGCUGAGGGAGGCUACUAGUGGUCAAGACCCCACCUUCUAGGAAAGAAACGGAGAUGUUUUUCUAAUUUGUGUCAGGAACUAGAGCCUGGAGGGAGAGUCAGUUUAUGCCAGCUCACAGGCCAGGUUGACUUCCCUGGUAGUUCAGACGGUAUUAGCUUCUGUCUGCAAUGUGGGAGACCUGGGUUCAAUCCCUGGGUCCAGAAGAUCCCCUGGAGAAGGAAAUGGCAACUCACUCCAGUAUUCUUGCCUGGAAAAUCCCAUGGAUAGAGGAGCCUGGUAGGCUACAGGGGUUGCAAAGAGUCGGACAUGACUGAGUGACUUCACUUCACAGGCCAAGUUAGGGAAUGAGCUCAUUGAUUUCUGUCCCCAAAUAUCCAGAUCACCAGAUACACAGGUGGUGGGGGUGGCUAGCUUAUAAAAGUCUGAGAGCUCAGACAUCUGUAGGCUAACGUAGAGCAGGAGAACUUCUCUUGCCUUGGUGGAAGUGGUCAAAGAAAUGCUUUCAGGGAGGGAUAGUGGCUAAUUUGCUCUUUCCUUUUCUCUUACAUCACCUCCCUGAACCAUUUUUGUUUCCUAAAUCUAAGUGACUUCAAGACAGAAAAUAAGUAGAAGCAAAUCGCCCUCAUAGUGAUUUGGGACCCUAACUUCUGCCCCAGAGUGAGGGUAGGUGAAGCCACUCCCUUCUCAGACUUGGUCGUUCCUAACACCCAAGAUAUGGUGGUCUGGAUAAUUCUGGGACCUGACAACUCAAAUAUAAUCAGCCUGUGGCCUUCUAAGAGUAUGAACUGCCCAUAAAAACCUGGCCUUGUCCCCAAGCGUUACCAAGUCCUUGGAACUAAAACCUGGAUCUUAACAGAUGCGCUUUUUUCUUUUCAGCUGAUACAUCUGCUCCCACUGACGUUCUCAUAUAAACUCAUGGAUGAAAGUGUUCCUGAUACAGUGGGACACAAGACAUAGAAGUCUGCAACAGGGAAAGGAAGCCCAUGGUGGCUUGUUGGUCAGGCAAGGGCUAUAUAAGUUCAUAAGAACUCAGGGUGGGUGUAAGUCUUACUGAGAGGAGAAUGUGGGCUGCUAAAGGCCUCUUUCACCUUUUGAACUGUGAGUGCCGUGGUGGCAAGCAGGAUCCAGAUCUCUGAAUCUGCUGAGCCUAGAAUAUGGUUUUUCCAGUAGUCAUAUAUGGAUGUGAGAGUUGGACCAUAAAGGCUGAGUGCCGAAGAAUUGAUGCUUUUGAGCUGUGGUGUUGGAGAAGACUCUUGAGAGUCCCUUGGACAGCAAGGAGAUACAACCAGUCAGUCUUUAAGAAAAUCAACCCUGAGUAUUGAAGGACUGAUGCUAAAGCUUCAAUACUUUGGCCAUCUGAUGUGAAGAGCUGACUCAUUGGAAAAGACCCUGAUGCUGGGAAAGACUGAAGGCAGGAGGAGAAGGGGACAACAGAGGAUGAGAUGGUGGGAUGGCAUCACCAACUCAAUGGACAUGGGUUUGAGCAAACAAACUCCAGGUGACAGUGAAGGAUGGGGAAGCCUGGCAUGCUGCAGUCCAUGGGAUCCCAAAGAGUCAAACGUAACAGUGCAACUAAACAACGAAGUAUAUGGCCUCCCAGACCCUCCACAAUGUUGAUGAGGCUGUGGGGACUGGGUAAGUUAUAACUUUCUUCUGUUCUCUAUUAGAGAAUGAGGUCAUUGAAAAUCAAGACCUGGAUGAGGAGUAGAUGGUCAUCCUUGCCCCCAAGGAAUCACUGAGGGACUCUCACAAUGUCCAAGGAGAACUCUGAACAUCUGGCCCAGUGGAAAGGAGGAGACUUGAGUCUUGCCCCUCGGCUCCAGGGAGUCAAAUGCAGAUAAUCUUCUUAUACCCAGACUCUUGAGGUCCAGACUUGUGCUAAGUAUUGACGGGGACCCUUUCUCCUUACCUGGGAACCUCCACUUUUAGGACUGGGAGCUGAGAGAAAAGGGUUUAUGGGCUUUGAACUGAAGGGAAAGAUCCAGAGAAGAUCCCAGGCCUGUCCCUUGCUUGGCAGGGUCAAUGAGAAUAGUUCCUUUGACUUUCAGUAGGGCAAGAAGAGGGAAGGUAGAUUUUACCCAGCAUCUCUCAAGAGGAGUACCUGUGUAUGUAUGUGAAACGGUCUAAGAACAACUCCACUAGCUUCAGAACAGGAAGAAUCUACCCAGGAAAGAAAGUCAUAUGGUGGAGAUGCCAUCCCACACUGGGCCACGAGAAGAUGCUUCCCAAGUCACUUUUCUGAUGCUUCCGUGGGCCUGUCAGUGGCCAUAGGUAUAAUAAUAAAGAUAACAAUAAAAAUAACAGUAAUGGAUCAUUUGCCAUGUACCAAAACCUUUGCAAAUAACUCAGUAAACUAUAAUAACUCUUUGUGGUGAAUACUAUUAUUACUCUCAUUUGGUCCCAUCACUUCAUGGCAAAUAGAUGGGGAAACAAUGCAAACAGAGACUUUAUUUUCUCGGGCUCCAAAAUCACGGCAGAUGGUGACUGCAGCCAUGAAAUUAAAAGACGCUUACUCCUUGGAAGGAAAGUUAUGACCAACCUAGAUAGCAUAUUCAAAAGCAGAGACAUUACUUUGCCAACAAAGGUCCAUCUAGUCAAAGCUAUGGUUUUUCCAGUAGUCGUGCAUGGAUGUGAGAGUUGGACUAUGAAGAAAGAUGAGCUCUGAAGAAUUGCUGCUUUUGAAUUGUGGUGUUGGAGAAGACUCUAGAGAGUCCCUUGGACUGCAAGGAGAUCCAAUCAGUCCAUCCUAAAGGAAAUAGGUCCUGAAUAUUCAUUGGAAGGACUGAUGCUGAAGCUGAAACUCCAAUACUGGCCACCUGAUGCAAAGAACUGACUCAUAGGAAAAGACCCUGGUGCUGGGAAAGAUUGAAGGCAAGAGGAGAAGGGGAUGACAGAGGAUGAGAUGGUUGGAUGUCAUCACUGAAUCGAUGGACAUGAGUUUGAGUAAGCUCCAGGAGUUGGUGAUUGACAGGGAAGCCUGGUGUGUUGUGCAGUCCAUGGGGUCACAGAGAGUCAGAUAUGAAUGAGCGACUGAUGUGUCAAGAAACCAAAACUUGGAAAGUUUAAAUAACUUAUGAAAAGUCAUAUAAUCAAUGAAAUACAGGUGCCAAGAUAUAUUUGAACCCAGGUCUGUUUGGCUGCAAACCCUGAACUAUUCGCUGUUAUACUCAUGACAUAUGAGAGUCUAGCCUACCAGAGCCCUAUGUCUACCUCCACAGUUGAGUGAGGUGAGACAGAGAGGAAGGCAUGGUUUAAAAAAAAGCGUUAGCAUCUUCUGUGCACACUCAUAUGUGCAGACUCAUGUAUCAUGUAUGUAGAAGAGUGUGUGUUUAGAUAAGCUACUUCUUUCAUUCUCCAUACAUUAGACAUUAUAAUGUGAACACUCCCACUUUGGGGGGCUUCCCAGGUGGUGCAAUGGUAAAGAAUCCACCUGCCAAUGGAGGAGAAGCAGGUUCUAUCCCUGGGUCGAGAAGAUCCCCUGGAAAAGGAAAUGGCAACCCACUCCAGUAUUCUUGCCUGGAAAAUUCCAUGGACAGAGGAGCCUGGUGGGCUGGAGUCCAUGGGGUCGCAGACAGCUGGUUUCAAGCACGCACACACUCCCACUUUUUAGGUGAAGUAUGCAGGUCACAAAGAAGCUAAAUAAUUUGUCUAAGAUCAUACAUCCACUCGAUUUCUUGAAUCUAUGUGGUUUGAUGCCAAAUCCAUGGCUCUUUCACUAUAACAUACUGUCACAAUAAUCAGAUGUACUCAGAGUCAGCUAGCAUUUAUUACACGCCCACCACAGGUUAAGCACUGUGCUAGGCUCUUUCACAAACAGCAGAUGGUUAUUCAUUGAUUGGUCUUCCAGUUCACUAAGCUGGGCUGCAGCUGCAGCAGCCUCCUAGUCAAGGUUAUAUGAAAGAAUAAAUCAGAGUAAUUCCUUUUCUUCUUCUUUCUAGGUAUUCUCAGUAGCUAAGUCCAAGCUAAAUAUUUCACAAAAGGGUGCUGUUGUCACCUGAAGGACCAGGGGAAAAAAGGAAAACUAGAUUAAGGUUGAAAAACUCAAGUCUCAAAGUCCCCGAUCCAAUGAUGGUGGGUCAGUAGUGUCUUCGUUCUCUUUGCUGGAUGCAUUCCUAAUGCCAUCCUAUUUCCAUUCUAGUCCACCUCACAUUUCUGAGGUGCCCUCUAGCUUUGCUCCUUCAAGGUAAAGAAGCAGGGAGGCAGUUGAUGAUGGAAGGAAGGAAAAAUUCCCUUGCUUCUAGAGCUCAUCAGGAAUUUAGGUCUGUCUUCCUCUUGACCCUUUGAGCCUCGAACUCUAAUUCUCCCAUGUCAACAUCAAUUGAAUGUAUUACCAAAGUCAUUGCUGAGAACCUGUCACACUAGCCCAAGAGAUCCCUGAGGAGACUUUGGAGCAGUGGUGAGAUGGUGAACGACUGAAGUGACUUAGCAGCAGCAGCAGCAGCAGCAACAGUCUGUUGUGGGACAACGGGGAAUGCAUGAGUAGAGAAGACACGCACCAUAUAUGUAUUCACCAUUCCUCGCUGCCCCCAUGAGGUUGGCAGUUCCCCCAAGAGCACAGAAUUCCAGUGGGAGCCCAGUGAGACGCAAAGUCAGUCAAAGGUGGGCAUCCGUUUGCAGUAACAGCGGUCUCCAACGUCGAGUGCAGGGAGAACUGACACUCCUGAAUGAAUAUGAGGAAACCCCAGGCAAAUUCAGGUUCACCACAUAUACUCAGGGACGUCAGAUCCACCCCUAAACCAGAAGUGGUAUUUCUCCGUUGGCGUCUUCAUGCAGUGACAGAGGUGAAGAGAGUCCAUGCUGUCCGUGAGCUCACGGGUGGAGAGAACUCUGCGUGUGCACAAACACACACGCUUGCACAUUUGGGUGCGCUGUGGUUGGUCCUGACACACAUGGUACAGGUACACCACACCUAAGUGUUUGCGUGUGAUGUGGGCUCGGGCGCCUCUUAGCGCCUGAGAGAGGUGGCUUUCACACGGGUCUCGGCGGCGGGGGUGGGGUGGGGAGGACUGGCUGGCUGACAGAGCACCUUAAGGCUUGGGUGAACACGGUCCUUCUGGACCCUGGUCCUCAGGAGACCACCGCUGAGCGUGGAGGGCUAUCCUGGUGGGUUUGGGGGGCUGGUGGGGGGGACACAUGGCUCCAUUUCCAGGACCAGUUUUUCCUGUAACCACUCUCCCCCUUUAUAUCACAAGAAGACAAACACCUGUUGACUUAAAGAACAGAGGAUCUUCGACUUCCUUCUGAAAGGAGUGAGUGACAGGAGCAACCCUACCGCCUCCGGGGCUGUGAAAGACUCUUCCCUUCCACCCCUGGACAAAAAAAGGAGGAGACAGUCUCAUGAACGAGGCCCUUGAGGGACGUGGAGAGCAGAUGUCAGGCCCGCUGACCUCUUUUUACUCCAGCGAUUCUGGAAGGAUGGGGUCGCCAUCUACUCGCUCCCUUUAGCUGCCUGGUGCUUCUUCCCCACAGCAGGCUUAGUGCCAAUCUGUGUCCCCAUCUCACGUCCCACCCCAUCUCUACGCCUUUGGGUUAUGCUAGCCAACAGGUGGCAAAGGGCACUGCUGAUUCUAACUUCUAAGCGCACCUUCCCCAGUCUCCCACCCCCUCUGCUGAAAGAGAUUCACUUCUCAUGAAAAUCUGGUAAACCUGCCAGCACCCCCAGGAGAAAAAAGUCACUAACUCACUUCUUUAGAAGCACAUUCCCCACCCCUCACUGGGUGGUCUUGACCACCACCAGCCCACCAAAGAAUCAUUGCGUUUUAUUGUUUCCAUAUUUCCCAGUGCAUUUUAACCAGACAUUCAAAUGGCACCCCAUGUCUAUAUUUAAAGGCUGUGGUGGAGGGACUCCCCACCCCCACCCCCCUCAGAAGAGACCUGUGUUCCACCUCCCAGAAGUGGCUGCUCAUCAGAGUGGAGGUGAUUCAGCUUUCCUAGAAGAUCAUUUGCAGGGGAAAACACAGUACUACUGCUCAGAGUGCUGCCUGCUUCCAGAGAUUUAAAAAAAAAAAAAAAUCACCAAAAAAACCCUGCUCUCAGACACAUGGAAUUCCCAUUGACGAGGUCUGACCAACACCAGGCGCUGAAUUUUUCCCAUUAAACUUAAAGCUCAG
ensembl:lncRNA